AGAUUGCCCAACGCGCGCCGUGAAGUUGCUUCCUUCCGCAACCGUUACAGGUUCUGAGAUUAAUGAUGAUGUUUCUAAUCGUGGUCGCUGCUUUUGGGGCCAUGGCGACUGCUACGGACGUGGGCACCCCGAAAGAAGUUGAUCCUUCAAGUACACCCGUUUCUAAGGAGAUCAUCGCCAAAGCUCAGAAGCUCGGCAAGGCGAAUAACGUCGAGAUCAGAAACUACACUGUUAAUUCUUCGACAAGGUACCCCUUGCAUCGAGCAGAACUUGUUGUGGAUGGCCAGCAGUGUACCAUGACAGCCAGCGAAGAGCACCCUGUCAAAUUUUUGAAGGGUGAUAAAAAUUGCAUUCUCUGUUGUUAAACUGAUAUAUACCAAUGGACAGCGGUAAAUAUUAUAAAAUGUUAAUAAAACUAACAUGGUUUUCCUUAUGUAUUGA